rnacentral:rRNA from 1 species
AGAGUUUGAUCCUGGCUCAGGAUGAACGCUAGCUACAGGCUUAACACAUGCAAGUCGAGGGGCAGCAUGGACUCAGCUUCGCUGGGUUUGAUGGCGACCGGCGCACGGGUGAGUAACGCGUAUCCAACCUGCCCUUUACUCCGGGAUAGUCUCCUGAAAGGGAGUUUAAUACCGGAUGUGUUUGUCUUUCCGCAUGGGAGCGACAAAUAAAGAUUGAUUGGUAAAGGAUGGGGAUGCGUCCCAUUAGCUGGUUGGCGGGGUAACGGCCCACCAAGGCGACGAUGGGUAGGGGUUCUGAGAGGAAGGUCCCCCACAUUGGAACUGAGACACGGUCCAAACUCCUACGGGAGGCAGCAGUGAGGAAUAUUGGUCAAUGGGCGGGAGCCUGAACCAGCCAAGUAGCGUGAAGGAUGACGGCCCUACGGGUUGUAAACUUCUUUUAUAAGGGAAUAAAGUUCGCCACGUGUGGUGUUUUGUAUGUACCUUAUGAAUAAGCAUCGGCUAAUUCCGUGCCAGCAGCCGCGGUAAUACGGAAGAUGCGAGCGUUAUCCGGAUUUAUUGGGUUUAAAGGGAGCGUAGGCGGGCUUUUAAGUCAGCGGUCAAAUGUCACGGCUCAACCGUGGCCAGCCGUUGAAACUGUAAGCCUUGAGUCUGCACAGGGCACAUGGAAUUCGUGGUGUAGCGGUGAAAUGCUUAGAUAUCACGAAGAACUCCGAUCGCGAAGGCAUUGUGCCGGGGCAGCACUGACGCUGAGGCUCGAAAGUGCGGGUAUCAAACAGGAUUAGAUACCCUGGUAGUCCGCACGGUAAACGAUGAAUGCUCGCUAUGGGCGAUACAAUGUCCGUGGCCAAGCGAAAGCGUUAAGCAUUCCACCUGGGGAGUACGCCGGCAACGGUGAAACUCAAAGGAAUUGACGGGGGC